rnacentral:rRNA from 1 species
UUUGACCUCAAAUCAGACAGGAUUACCCGCUGAACUUAAGCAUAUCAAUAAGCGGAGGAAAAGAAACCAACAGGGAUGGCUCUAGUAACGGCGAGUGAAGCAGCCAAAGCUCAAAUUUGAAAGCUCCUAACAAGGCGCAUUGUAAUUUGAAGAUGGUAUUCCGAGUUAGUCCUUUACCUCAGUUCCUUGGAACAGGACGCCAUAGAGGGUGAGAGCCCCGUGUGGUAUUGGUAGCUUUCUCAUGUGGUUUACCUUCGAAGAGUCGAGUUGUUUGGGAAUGCAGCUCUAAGUGGGUGGUAAAUUCCAUCUAAAGCUAAAUAUUGGCGAGAGACCGAUAGCGAACAAGUACUGUGAAGGAAAGAUGAAAAGAACUUUGAAAAGAGAGUGAAAAAGUACGUGAAAUUGUUGAAAGGGAAGGGAAUUGGACUAGACUUGGAUUUCUGUUAUCAGCAGUCUUUCGGGGCUGUGCACUAGCAGUUUUCUAGGCCAGGAUCUGGUUUGGAGGCCAGGAUAAAACCCAAAGAAUGUG